UUGACCUCAAAUCAGGUAGGACUACCCGCUGAACUUAAGCAUAUCAAUAAGCGGAGGAAAAGAAACUAACAAGGAUUCCCCUAGUAACUGCGAGUGAAGCGGGAAAAGCUCAAAUUUGAAAUCUGGCAGCUCUUGAACUGUCCGAGUUGUAAUCUAGAGAAGUGUUACCUGUGCUGGACCGUGUACAAGUCUCCUGGAAUGGAGCGUCGCAGAGGGUGAGAAUCCCGUCUUUGACAUGGACUGCCUGCACGAUAUGGUGCGCUCUCGAAGAGUCGAGUUGUUUGGGAAUGCAGCUCAAAAUGGGUGGUAAAUGCCAUCUAAAGCUAAAUAUUGGCGAGAGACCGAUAGCGAACAAGUACCGUGAGGGAAAGAUGAAAAGAACUUUGGAAAGAGAGUUAAACAGUACGUGAAAUUGCUGAAAGGGAAACGCUUGAAGUCAGUCGCGUUGACUGGAAAUCAACCUUGCUUUUGCUUGGUGUACUUUCUGGUUGACGGGUCAGCAUCAAUUUUGACCGUCGGAUAAAGUCUUUGGGAAUGUGGCAUCUUAGGAUGUGUUAUAGCCCAUUGUCGCAUACGGUGGUUGGGAUUGAGGAACUCAGCACGCCUCCCACAAAGGGGCCGGGUUUCGACCACGUUCGUGCUUAGGAUGCUGGCAUAAUGGCUUUAAUCGACCCGUC
rnacentral:rRNA from 2 species